CCCCUGUAAGGCAGAGGACUCAGACCUGCCCAGAUCGAGGUGUUCUCUCAAAUCUGCCAGGGUUGGGUUACACUCAGUAACUCAACCAGCAUCCAUCCCUCAGCUAUUUCCAGAGCGCCACCUACUGCCAGGCUCCAGGGCGUGCAGCAGUGAAAGCCAGUCAUUGACCCUGCCGUGGGGAGCUUACCUUCUAGCCGCCAAUAUCCAUGACCCAAGACUUGAGAAGGUCAAGGAUAUCACUUAGAGCUUUUGGCCAAAGCUGAAAGCUGGCCAUGCUACAGAAUGAAAUGAAAGAGAUUUCUAUUUUCUUCAUGUUCAGAAAGCAGGCUGUGGUACCGUUGGGAUUCACCUCCUCUCCCCAAGCCAUUUCCAGCUUCAUAGAAAAGGUGAGAAAACCAAGGGACAGUGGGGUAACACGACUCACUCCAGGGCACGUGGUUAAGAAAGUGACAGAGCUGAAAGGAACCUCUGCAACGCAACAACAACCGGAAAAGAAAAGCAGCCCGAGUCAAAACUGGGCAAAGGACAGGAACACACACAGAUUUCUCUGAAGAAAGCAUCAAAUGGUCAGCAAGCACACGAGAAGAUGCUUGACAUCAGUAAU